UAGCAGUCACUUGAGGCUCUACAAAUCGGC
rnacentral:piRNA from 1 species